AUACGUAGGGAGCGAGCGUUGUCCGGAAUUACUGGGCGUAAAGGGCGCGUAGGCGGCGCUUCAAGUCGUCUGUCAAAUGGAAGGGCUUAACCCUUUUUCGCAGACGAAACUGGAGAGCUUGAGAAGCAGAGAGGCAAACGGAAUUCCUGGUGUAGCGGUGAAAUGCGUAGAUAUCAGGAAGAAUACCAGUGGCGAAGGCGGUUUGCUGGCUGCAUACUGACGCUGAAGCGCGAAAGCCAGGGGAGCGAACGGGAUUAGAUACCCCGGUAGUCCUGGCAGUAAACGAUGUAUGCUGGGUGUGAGACUAGCGAUAGUUUCGUGCCGAAGUUAACGCGAUAAGCAUACCGCCUGGGGAGUACGGUCGCAAGAUUGAAACUCAAAGGAAUUGACGGGG
rnacentral:rRNA from 1 species